CAAAAUGAACGAAUCGUUAAUGAACGACCAAUGAGUGAUCCAAGCCAGCCGACCACUGACACUCUCGAGCUAAAAGAAAACGCAGCUGAGACUGCACGACAGAGACAUCGACAAUCAUUCCAGGUGAAGUAUAAUGGAAGCCACCAUUAAAAGUGUCCUCUCCUACCUGGAAAACGAUUCACUGGAAAUGAUUCUACAACACUUGUCAAGCAUUGGGGUUAGGACAGCUGAUGACAUGGAAUUCAUAAAAGAUGAUGAUUUGAAACACCUCCUGACACCAGUGGACUGUAGGAAGCUACUGCAUGCCUUUUAAAAAAAGAGAUACACAGCACAACACUCAGCAACAUGAUUGUACCAUGGAAACUUCUGAACCUGAAAUUAUUUUGACUCUUACACCUGUGCCUUAUCCUGAAACCUCACCCAAUUCAGAGCUUGCAUUGGAACCUUCAAGCCAUGUUCGUGCGUAGAAUAGCACUUGGCUAUCAACAUUUUCUGUACCGUGGGAGAAAACACAUGAAAGUUUGAGAAAGUGUCUUGCACAGAGGAAACGGCCAAAAGCUGCAGAUAGACGGCAUAUGGUGAGAGUCAUUGCAGAAGCAAUAAGACAGGUUUGCUUGAACCCUUCAUUCAGGCAGUGUGCUGAACUGGCUAAGAGCAUUGUGAAUAAAUAUCCUAAGUCUUUUGAAGACCAAACAGAAGAAGGAGAACGGCUGGGCAAUGGAUAUUACACUUUAAGCAAACAACUGAGGAUAAGGAUAGAUUUUUUAAACAGAGACAAUACCCUAACACGACUUCGAAAACCAAAACGAAUGGUCCCUGCUGUGGAUGAAGACCUGCCUGGACCAUCAAGAAAGUGUGCCAAAACUGAUAGCUACGGGUGUGUCAAAUGGCAACCAUCACAAAUGCCUGAAGGAGAAAAUAGAGAGUCUCUCUAUGAGAAGAAAAUAGAGCUGAUGACUAUUUAUGCCAAGGAGGGACAAAGAGGUGCAGACCAGAAGCGAGUCAAUGACCUCAUGACUUUACUGUAUGAGCAACAGCGUCGUGACAUUAAUGCAACUCCUUCACCAACCUUGUCAGAGUUACAGAAAGAGUGGCCAUUCCUCUUCAUGCAGAACUUUUUACUACAGCACUUCUGCACAUUGACAGGAAUUGAGCUAGAGUCAAGACUACGACAAGCACUUGCUGACAAGGGGAAAAGAGUUCUACAAUAUUUCAAUUGUCAACUUUUAAAAUGGAACAAGGAAGUGAAGGCAGUCCUUCAUGGCAUUGAGAGACAGAUGGAAGACAUAGAUCCCGGACUUGCUGCAAUCUUAGUCAUGAUGGCUUACUUUAAAGAACAGGAAGACACGGUUUUCCUCUUGGAUGAUGCAAGUAAUUUUUGUACAGUUUUGCCACACACUUUCUCUUAUGAAUAUUGUACUUGUGAUUUCUAAAAGUUUUUUAUUUUGUGUUACAGGAAACUUCCUCCCAAGCAGACGCUGAGGCCCAGAUUUCCCUGCCAAGCACUCCAAGGCUCAUCAUGCUCGGAGAGUCCAUUCUGGGGGCAAAAAAAUGGAUGUUUUCCAUCGAGGGCAGAGUUGUCCUCCAAUUGAGAGACCGUUGUGGUUUCACUUCUACUCUGGCUGUCCUUUUUGCGUCAUACUAUGUAUUUAACAUAGAAUAUCCUGAGGAGGCAGCCACUACAUUGGAAUUUAUCCAGAGAUUCUUUGUCAGAAUUAACCCAGAGCACAGCAAGUGCAAUUCAAAGGUCCAGAUUAGCAGACGAACUGGGAAAAUGGUCCAAAAAAAAAACGAGUGCCUCAAUCCACAUGUGGCAUCGUUCAUCAGGGACUUCAUC